CCUACGGGAGGCUGCAGUGAGGAAUAUUGGUCAAUGGACGCAAGUCUGAACCAGCCAUGCCGCGUGCAGGAAGACGGCUCUAUGAGUUGUAAACUGCUUUUGUACGAGGGUAAACGCAGAUACGCGUAUCUGUUUGAAAGUAUCGUACGAAUAAGGAUCGGCUAACUCCGUGCCAGCAGCCGCGGUAAUACGGAUGAUUCAAGCGUUAUCCGGAUUUAUUGGGUUUAAAGGGUGCGUAGGCGGUUGGAUAAGUUAGAGGUGAAAUCCCGAGGCUCAACUUCGGAAUUGCCUCUGAUACUGUCGGGCUAGAGAGUAGUUGCGGUAGGCGGAAUGUAUGGUGUAGCGGUGAAAUGCUUAGAGAUCAUACAGAACACCGAUUGCGAAGGCAGCUUACCAAGCUACGUCUGACGUUGAGGCACGAAAGCGUGGGGAGCAAACAGGAUUAGAUACCCGAGUAGUC
rnacentral:rRNA from 1 species